CGUAGGGUGCGAGCGUUAAUCGGAAUUACUGGGCGUAAAGCGUGCGCAGGCGGUUUUGUAAGACAGAUGUGAAAUCCCCGGGCUCAACCUGGGACCUGCAUUUGUGACUGCAAAGCUAGAGUACGGUAGAGGGGGAUGGAAUUCCGCGUGAAGCAGUGAAAUGCGUAGAUAUGCGGAGGAACACCGAUGGCGAAGGCAAUCCCCUGGACCUGUACUGACGCUCAUGCACGAAAGCGUGGGGAGCAAACAGGAUUAGAUACCCUGGUAGUCCACGCCCUAAACGAUGUCAACUGGUUGUUGGGUCUUUACUGACUCAGUAACGAAGCUAACGCGUGAAGUUGACCGCCUGGGGAGUACGGCCGCAAGGUUG
rnacentral:rRNA from 1 species